rnacentral:lncRNA from 1 species
GAAAUAUAUCAAACAAAUAAAGUUUUCUUUUGUUUGUAAUCACUUUAUUACACACUUCAGGUGUCAAAAUGUAAAAACCCAUCAUGAGCUUAUCAACACUGUAACAAGUAGAAAACUAUUUUUCUUUUGGUCUUCUUCUAAUUCCAUUUUCCUUCUCUCCUGAUAUUGUUAUUAAUUAUUCUGAUGACAUAAAAAGUAAUAAAGCAUAUGG